GACGAACGCUGGCGGCGUGCCUAAUACAUGCAAGUCGAGCGAACAGACGAGGAGCUUGCUCCUCUGACGUUAGCGGCGGACGGGUGAGUAACACGUGGAUAACCUACCUAUAAGACGGGGAUAACUUCGGGAAACGGGAGCUAAUACCGGAUAAUAUAUUGAACCGCAUGGUGCAUUAGUGAAAGACGGCUUUGCUGUAACUUAUAGAGGGAUCCCGGCCGCUUUGGCUAGUUGGGAGGGAAACGGCCUCCCAAGGGAAGGAUGCGUACCCGACGGGAAGGGGUGAUCGGCCCCCCUGGACCUGGACCACGCUCAAGACUCCUCCGGGAGGCCGCAGAGGGGAAUCUUCGGCAAUGGGCGAAAGCCUGCCGGAGCAACGCCGCGUGAGUGAUGAAGGUCUUCGGUUCGUAAGACUCUUUUUUUAGGGAGAAACAGAUUUGUAAGUAACUAUGCACGUCUUGACGGUACCUAAUCAGAAAGCCACGGCUAACUACGUG
rnacentral:rRNA from 1 species